rnacentral:misc_RNA from 1 species
GGUGGCGAUGGAGGUGGCAAAGCUGGCGGAGGAGGGGAUGGGGAUGGUGGUGGUGGGGGUGGAGGGCUUGAAUUACAGGGAGUACACUUCUCAUCAGCAGGGCCAGGCACGGUGUUCUCUUCAAGCUUUCUUGAAUCGAAGGCAUGAAUUGGCGGAGCAGCCGCAACAAUCAAAAGAAACAAAUUUAGUAGCAUCAAGAAAUCUAACCAUCUCAUUCUUAACAAUCUAUUUGAGGACAGAGAAUUGAAUUAGAUUGAGCAAAGCAGGUUGUUCUUGUUUCUCGGCUAUGUGGGUAUAUUGUGGAUUUAUUGGAGGGGAGCGUCUUGAUAGGGAAAGGGUGUGCCGUGUUCGUGUGUCAAGGAGGCACUGCAAUUUUGGUUACCUUAUUAG